AUACGUAGGGUGCAAGCGUUAAUCGGAAUUACUGGGCGUAAAGCGUGCGCAGGCGGUUUUGUAAGACAGGGGUGAAAUCCCCGGGCUCAACCUGGGAACUGCCAUUGUGACUGCAAGGCUGGAGUGCGGCAGAGGGGGGUGGAAUUCCGGGGGUAGCGGGGAAAGGCGUAGAUAUGCGGAGGAACACCGAUGGCGAAGGCAAUCCCCUGGGCCUGCACUGACGCUCAUGCACGAAAGCGUGGGGAGCAAACAGGAUUAGAUACCCUGGUAGUCCACGCCCUAAACGAUGUCAACUGGUUGUUGGGGAUUUAUUUUCUCAGUAACGAAGCUAACGCGUGAAGUUGACCGCCUGGGGAGUACGGCCGCAAGGUUAAAACUCAAAGGAAUUGACGGGG
rnacentral:rRNA from 1 species